GUAAACUGCCUCUGGGCUUGAACUGUAGCACCUCCUUGCGUCUCCAUCUUGCGGCCUCUGUGAAUCCUGGAUUUACCAGGCCUCCGCAACUUGGGUAAAAGGCAACUUUGUCCCUAGUCCGCUGCUGCUGGGGUUUGAAGAAGGAGAAGGACUUGAACAGAGAAUUAGAGAGCAAGAAAUACAGAAGUGCUUUGGACAGUUCUGGUUCCAAACAAACUGGAAAAAAUGCUUGAGAAAAUGUUACCCAUGAUGAACCACCUGUCCACCCUCAUCAACCAAAGCCAGUUCAGCUCCCAGGCAGUUUUCUUGAAAACUUGCUUAGCCUGCAACUUCUGCAUUGGACUCCUGGCAGUGCUUGGAGCAAAGGGCAAUGGCGACU
ensembl:lncRNA